rnacentral:lncRNA from 1 species
GGCGAGUGAAAGAAGGUGACCGAGCCAGAAGGAGAGAGCACAGAUGACUUGGUGAUGGUAUGGUAUGGUCCUCCUUCUCAUCACUUCUUAGGCAUGGAGAGAUGAAGGACAGAUGGAGUACCGCACAAGGAUACAAUGGAGGAAGCAGGCCAUGACUAAGACCCCAAGGAUGAAGAAUGGAGAGCCCUGACCGUCCUCCUGGCCUCCAGUCAUUUCCCCACUGAAGAUGGCCGUACCCUCUAGCCUGGGAGGACCAUGGCCCAACAAUGGCAGUGGGAGAGAAGAUGACUCUGUGGAGGACACUCUCCGUUAUCUGUGAUGACAUACACCAGCCCCCGAACAAUUUAACCUCAAGCUGCCCUCUGCAAGACUUCGGUAGCACUGGACUUCCCUCAUUCCUGGGCAGAGCUGCCCUGGGCUGGGGGGAGUUCUGAUGUCAACAUCUCUGGAGGCAGAUGACAACUUCAGAAGAGGCAAAAUUUCCCCAGGAGAAAAGAAAACAGGAGGUCUUCAGUCAACAUGGAGUUUGAAGCCGCCCAUGGCUGAAGCUCAGAAUACUCUGGAGAGCUGAGAGUCCUUCUUCAGCGGCUGGGCCGUUCUGCAGCAGCUGCAGCCGCCUCUGGGCCUGGGCGUCCCGGUGGGCAGGCGUGCGUAGGUGUUGCAGCAAGGCUAGGCGGGAGGGCGUGUCCCAGGCGCACAACAGGCAGUGGUAAAGCCCGGGCUCCGGCCCUGCCUCUGCUCCCUCCAUUUCCAGCAGAAACUAGAAGCAUGGAAGAGGCCAGCUCAGAUGUAGAAGGCACACCUCCAGACCUCUGGGGGCUGUUCCUCCUCGCUUAGACUCUUUCAUGCCUGGGUGGCCUCCCUCCACCCUGCUAUGGCUUCCCAUCUGCUUCUCCUCUCCAUUUCCUUCUUUCUCCCAUCAGUCCUGGGUCCCCCAGUGUGUGGCUGGGAGUUGCUUCUGUCCUGGAUACCAUGAUGGCUGGACUGAGAUGGCCUCAUCCCUAUAGCAUGCUAGAACAGCUAAAUCAAGUCUGUUUCUCCUCCUCGGAGCCCACUGCCCUUUGGCCUCUCUCCAGGUCUGCCCAGCACUCUGCUACCCUGUUCUUCAUGUCCAUCACCACAGGUUUCUCCUCCACCUCUCUGCGCUGCGUCUCCCACCCUACCCUGUCCCUCCUCCCUCUCCCGCCCCCUCCUGCCUGAACGUCACCUUAUAGAUCUGGCUGUUUUCUUCGUGGGCUGAACCCCGGGUGUGCAGCUGCAUCUUCUCCUUGCUGUUGGACUCGAAGUCACAGAUGUUGCAGCGCAGGUGAAGUGGGGAGAUGGAGCCGUAAGAAGCCCCAUCCCCCAGGGCCAGUAGGGAAGGGGUGCCCAUGGCUCCGCCCCCCUCCCGGAGGUGGGCUGCUAGCUGGUAUUUCUGAGUGUGUUUGUCGGUCUUGAGGUGGAGCUGGAAGUUGGCCUUGAGCUGGGUGCCAUAGCAGCAGAGCUUGCAGCGGUGGGUAUCCCCAGCUACCUCCUUCCAUUCGGCCUCCGGCAGGCUCCGGCCAAUGCUGCAGUGGUACAGCAGCAGCUCCAGGCUGUCUGUGCUGAAAGCCUGGCACACCAGGCAGCGGAACACCUUCAGGGCUGGGCUGUCAUCUGGGGAUGGCGAAGUGGGCAGCCCAUCAGAUGAGGAGCCCAGGAGCUGACUUGGUGGCAGAUGGGUCUCAGGGGAGAGGCUGCCAGGGGCUGGGGGGGACAGAGACAGAUUAGGAAGAAAUGAGCGGGGCACUUAGGAUAAGCUGUGUUUACCUAAGUGGGGAGAUGACCUUUGGGAGAAGGCAGGGAAUACAAUUGGACUUGGGUACGAAGUGGCAGGAGCAGAGAGGGGACUUACCAGCUGUGGGGAACUUGCGGGCAGGCGCUCCAAGGUGGUGGAAACCAUUUAGGAGUAGCUGGGCUUCAAGGGGCUUGUCUGGCCUCAGCCCGGGCCCAGGCAUGGGUGUCUGAGGCUGUCCUAGGGCCUGGGGCCCAAAGUACUGGAAGAGUUCAGGAGGGUUGGUGGGGGCAGCCCCUGGUGGGGGAGGAGGUCCUGGCCCCACCAGCCCUGGUGGCAGGCCAAGUGGCAGCCCCUGGUGCAACAUCAGGACGUUCUGCAUGUGUUUCUCAGAAGUCAUGUGGAUGCGCAGGUUUCGGGAGAUGUUGGUUUCGUAGCUGCACACUUUGCACUGCCAGGAUGACUUGGUCUUGGGCUCUUUAUCCCCGACAGAGGUGGGUGGGAGGGAUGCCUCCGGGGGACUCGCCUGCCCGCCAGGCCCUGCCUGGAAGCCCUGCAGGUUGGCCAGGUGCUUGUCGGACUGCAUGUGGAUGCUGAGGUUGCCUUUGGUGGUGGUGGAGUAGUUGCAGACAUCGCAGCGGUAGGGCUUGUAGCCGCAGUUGUAGCUCUCUCCGCGGGCCAGGCGGGGGUGGGCGCCCCCGGCGCUACAGUAGCUGCAGUGGCUGUUGCUCUCGGGGUGCUUCUCCCGCAUGUGCACGUCCAGGGUCUGCUGGUACUUGUAGUGCCAGUUGCACUUGGGACACUUGAGAGUCUUGCAGGAAUUGCGUGAGUGUAGCAGGGACAUGUGACUGGACAGGCUGAGGCCCUGGAAGGCGGCAGGGGCUGGAGUGUAGUCAUCGGCCAGGCGACAGGACGGAGGUGGGUCACUGGUAUCUUCGGGAGAGCCUGCUGGAGCUGGGAGCACGGCCACCUCCUUAGAGGUGGGUGAGCUUUGGUUGAGCGGGAGGCAGAGCCCUCCAUCCUCUUCCUGCCCCUCAGGGAACCAGUCUGGCCCCGCCUCGCCUCUUGGUACUGGCGAAUCUUUGGCUUGGGUUGGGCUGGGGUCCCAGGUGGCUAGGGCUGUGGGUGGGGAUGGUGGGCUGAGGGCUAUAACCUCUUCAGCGGGGAGAACAAGGGCUUGACCAUCUGCCUCUGGGGGGCCGUCCUCAGCCUGGGCUCCAUUUGUCUUCACAGUCACUGUGCUGGUGUCCGGUACUUCGGGAGAAGGACGGGCAGCCAGAGACGGCGCUGAGGUAUCGUGGGACAACAUUUGGUCAGAAGAGCUAAAGCCUUGGAUUGGGUCGAAGCCAUGUUGGAUGUGAAGGGUGGUAAGGUGUGAGGAGGGGAAGUGGGUGAGGAGGGGCAGGCUGGGCUCUUCCUUGGCGCUUGCCUCAUCCCAGGGGAAGCCCUUUGGUAACGAGAGUUCACUGCCCCUAGGCAGGGGCAGGUUGGCCAGUAGGUAGGCCUGGCCUCCAGCUGCGAAGAAUAAGUGGCUGCUGAGGUCCAAAGGAAGGAUCUCUUCCUCCUCCUUUGCCACCCCAAGGUCCUUUGGUGGGAUGUGGCCACAGCCAGGCUCUUCUUGGGGCUCUCCAAUCUCCUUUGGUGGGUCAAGGUCACUGCCUGACUCCAGACGCUCUCCCCCCGGCUCUGAGGACCUUAUGCUCUCAGAGGUGGAGGGGGCAUCAGGGGGAUCUUUGGUGACAGGAUCAGAGGUGCUGGAGGAGGAGGUCUCUGGAGGUGGUGACCGAACAUUGUGCCCAGGGGAAGGAACGGUUCCGGAGGGAGAGGCUGAGUUAAGGGUAGCCAUGGUAGACGGAGGACUGCUGAGGGUUCAUUUCAGCGUGACAGCCAGUACCCUGCAUGGAGGCAUGGGGAGAGCAGUGCCGUAAGAUCUCGGGGUCCCCAGCAAGGCUGAAUGUCUGGACUCUUUAGCCCUACUAUGCUCAGACUCAGGUGCCCCCAUGCCAACUUGAAGCUCUACUUAGUGUGUCUAAAACCAGAGUUCACGAUCGCUUUCCAAACCAGCUCUUCUCCAUCUUGCAAUCUCAAAUGUGGUACCACUCAACCCUCGGCUUAUAUGUCUAUGCUAUGCCCUGUAGCUUCCAUUCCAUAACCAGUUCCAGGAUGCAUCAGACCCUACACUCACAUCUUCCUCACCAGCAGCACCCUGGUCGGACCCACUGGUAUCUUUUUGAGCUGAUGCACCAGAUGGGAUACUCUUUUCCUUCCCACCUCUGCCCUCUCCAAGCUGACAGCCAAAACAACCCCUUCAUGUUCAACUACAGAAAAUGCCCAACAUGUGUAGGGAGAACCUCUGUCUGCUGCCCGCUGUCAGUGGCAAUCAGCGCAUGGGCGGUCUCGUCUUCGUUUGUGCCCUCACCAAAACUGCUUUACUCCCCGCGGUGUUUUAAUUUUAGGUUAGAAUUAAAUAUAAAUUUUAGGUUACAAUUUUCCUUUCUUUUUUAAGACGGGCUCUCGAGUAACCCAGCCUAACUCUGAACUUCGGAUGCUCUUACCUCCACAUCUGCUGUUUAGGGAGUUCUGGGGAUUGAACCCAGGGCUUUGUGUCUCCUAGCUAUGGCCUUACCUCUCCCUCAUGGCUGUCUUAAAAAAUUACUUGUGUGUAUAUAUAUGUGUAUGCCAUGGCACACACGUGGAGACCAGAGAACAACUUGUGGGGGUCAGUUCUCUCCUUUUACCAUGUGGGUCCCGGGGAUGGAGCUUAGGUUGUCAUGGCUUGGCAGCAAGCACCUUAUCACUGUGCCAUCUUGUUAACCCUCAUAAUUGUCUCUAAACAUGCAGCCCAUAUUACAGUCUACUUAAAAGCCCAGUAGUGCUUUCUCAUCACAUGCAAUAAAAUCGAGACUCCUUUCCCUGAUCUGCAAAGGCCUGUAGCUCCCAGAACGUCUGCUUUUUUCUCCCAGUUUUAACCCACUGGCAGCUAGCCAGCCUUCCCGCCUCUGUCUUUCUGCCCACAACACCCUUUCGCUCUUUUUCUUGGUCCUUCCUGUCUCUCACACAAGCCAACUUCAUCCCUUGGUCCUUGCCCAAGUGUUCAGCCUGCUGGGGAAUCCCUGACAUUCCCGUCACCCCCCAGACCACCUGCUCAGACUUCUCACUGGCUAGUGAAAGAUUUUUUUUCUGGCUAAUUCUUCUAAGAGAGCCUGUCUGUUUUCUUAGCUCUCUACGAUUACACAGACAUUCCAGUUCACACAUAACCCAGGCUAUAGCCUUAAGUUCAGCUAGUUGAGAGUAACCCUGAAUCCUCCUGCCUCUACUCUCCAAGGUAUGUGCUGUCAUGCUAAUGAAUGAGUCCUGGGGAAGAUCCCCAGGUCCAGCCCCUCCGCAAAGUCUUUUUGCUUUUCUUGGCACGAACCUUUCUCCACUGUAUUCCAGAUCCAGACUAGUAGGGACGUGCCAAGUUUAAGGAAGUUCUUUGGCUAGUUGGAAGACAGUAGCUCGCUCCUUUGUAGCCCUCUCUACUCUCCAAAUUGAAGAUACAAAUAUUAGUAACAAGUCCUAGUAAUAAUGGUACUAGCAGCUGUUCAAGUAUUUAUAGCGUGGUCUUGGCACCAGCUAAAGGACUUAUCAGGGUCUCACUGCAUUGCACAGCAUUCUCAAAGGUUACUGAUAGUAACUGGGCUCCAAAAUGGGGGAACAGCUUAGCACACAGUAGGGCUGCUUAGCAUGCAAGCAGUCCUGGGCUCAGUUCCCAGCUCUGCAUCAGUUGGGGGCUGGGGGUAGGUUCAUGCUUGUAAUUCCAGUACUCGGGCAGUAGAGGCAGGAGGAUCAGAAGUCCUGCCUACACAGCAAGUUCAAGACUAGCCUAGGAUACAUGAGACCCUGUAGAGUUAGAGGGGGUUAGGAGCGGGGAGGGAGGUUGGUUUGUGUGUGGGAGGAGCUGUCAGGCCUUCUUCAAAAUUAUCAGUUCCCCAUGAAUCCAUCUAACUCCUCUUUCUCUCUGAAUCAACAACAAUCUCUAAUGAUAAACUGUCUAACAUUCAGGCCACACUGGUUCAGAGAAAGGGCGAGGGGGUGGCCUCUUACUCCUUGGGCCGUCCUUAACCCUCAUCUCCAGAGUCCCAGAUUUGAUAUGGGUCCUUGGUCCAGGAGCCUGGUUGCUUUCCCACUUCCCUCUUCCCUCCUGCCCCUGGGAAUCCAGCUUGGCCUGAGUCAGAACCUUCAAGAACCUUGAGGGGCAGAACUAGCAUGCUAAUGAGAUGCAAAUAAGUACCUGGAAAUCAAAGGAAAAUGACGAAUCUGGGUGGGGCUGGGGGUGGAGCCCUAGCAUUGAUGGAGAAAGGCAUUCCUUCUGAGGAUCCUUGGUGGGACAGAGGAUGCUAAGUUUGUUGGUUUGUGAGGGUUCAGUCAUUUCCACAGGCUGGGCCCCACUAGAUAGGGAGAGCUGAGGGUUGACAUGGUGGGCCCUUUAACUCACCUGCCGGGGCAGCAGACGAGCCCCGCUUACAAGCAUUCAGCUCCCUCUUGGCUCUCCACUCACAGUGCUACAUCACAGCUCAGAGGCAGCCUGAAUAGGACCCGACCCUGGAGUAACUCCCAGAUUCCCGCUCUCUCUAAAGCUUAAUUCUCCUACUAGAAAAGGACUGCUGGGUUGCUAAGUAGAAACCAAAGGGGCUCAGCUUUUGGCCAGCUUGUGGGUGAGACCCGUAACACAGCCGGGUAGGUCAGCUGGUGGCUUAUUUAAAAUUGCAAAUCUCUUCCCUACCUCCCAGCCUAUCCCUCCUCUUCAGGAGAGAAUUUCCAUUGCAAAUUUAUCUCUCCCCUACCUAUUUCCCUCGUCCCUUUCUCCGAAGUUUCUCCCACCGCGCACUAGCGAUUAGACUUUUGUGGCCAGGGUGUUCCCCACUUUUAAUCCUUCUGCCUCCCGCUUCUGACUUCCCCCUCUGAAGCUCUAAGCCCCCUUUUUGUUUUGCCCUUCUUGCCUUGAACUGUUGAUGGCACGAAAGCCUCUAAAAAAUCGGGGCUCAUCUACCUGCUAUCCCUAGCCAAGAUUCUCAGUCACCCCUGUCCCACAGCCAUUUCUUCCUGUGGUUCCCAGCAUUUCUUAAGAGCAGCUCUCCCGUGGGCCUGGUCUCACAGGAGGGUAGAGGCAGAAGGCAGCCGCCACAGACCAUGACAUUACAGCUCAGAAGGAAUUGGAGCGAAGGCGGCUGGUGUUCUGGAGGUGGGGGACAGUAGAGGAAAGGGCUGGGCCUCCGCAGAGCAGGCAGUGGCAGCCGUGUGAUUAGAGCGGAGAUUGAUGUGAAGGGGCGCCACAGACCGCAGAGCGAGUCAAUAAAACCGGAGGAUCGCAUUAGAGGCGACAGGGAGAGCUUUAAAUUACAAGGCUGCUGCCACCACGGGGAAUGGAAGGAGGGAGCCCUGGAGCCUAGGGAGGGCGGAGAGUUCUGAGGGUGCAGUCGCCCCGAAAGAUGGAUGGAUCGACAGCUCUAAAGCGGCCCUCAGUCCUGGGAGCUCCCUCGUGGCCUUCCAUUCUUCCCUCCCGUCCCAGCUCCUCACUAGGGUGAGGUGGAGAGGAAGGGAUAAGGCAAGGCUGUGGAGAAACAGGCUUUUCGUUCUGGGAACUGUCUCCUUCCCCCUUCCGCCAGGUUUUCCUGUCUGCCUGUUACUCAAGAGAGGGAAGCCUGGGAGUGCUUUCAAGGCUCGACAGGAACUGCUGUCCCGCAAACAGAAGGCAGUCAUAAUUACUGACCUGAAGAGUAAGGCAUAUAUGUACACACACACACACACACACACAUAUAUCAGGAGGCAGAAACUGAAAGGCUUGAAUUUGAGGUUCAGCAUACAAGUGGAAGAUCUUUAAGGUAGUCUUUGAGACCCUGUAGGAUGGGAAACUGACAGACAACUAGAGAAGUCCUGGAGCCAGGGGGCAAGGGCAGAGCAUGGAAAUGGAGUUAGAGGCGCCACAGAAUUUGAAGCCACGGUGGCCCAGGGUGUUUCCCUCCAAGCCCCACCUGGAUCAGAUUAGGAGAAGCACCACUGCCCCCUGCUGGUCACAGAGGGAACACCACCAAGCCCCAGCUCUGCAAACCGAAUAAACAAAACCUGCCCCCCUCCAUUUCCUCAGGCCCAGUGAAGGGCAAAAGAUUUUGUGGCAACAGCUUGGGCACCAAGACUCUACCAGCCCUGAGCUUUACAUCUUCAAGUGUAAGAGACCAAAGUCAUGCUGGCCCGGGCCCUCACCAGCACUCAACCUUGCUUAUCCAGACUACUUCCUCACGUGGAAACCUGGGAGUAAUGGGGUGAGGGCCAUAAGGGCAAUCAAUAUACAGAGUGCAUGGCCUGGGUGUCAGUGAGGGCCAUGCUCUACCCCCUGCUUGGCCAUCCCCUCCCUCGGGGCAGAGCACAGUGUUUGGAAGGAGGCUGGCAUUCCUCCUGCUCCGCCUCUCAAUGGGGCCAGGUUCACACCUAGUCCUCCCACCAUUUACUGCUUUGCUUGGCGAUUAUCCCUCUUUGCCCCUCCUCUAAAGCCCAGGCUGGCAGUAGAUUACCCAUGAUCCUCCUGCCUCAGCUGAUAGGUCGAGAUUCCCUAGGAGGUUGGCAGAACUCAAGCCUUACUUACUUGGCCUUGGUUUAUUGUUCUGCUGCUGGCGAUUGAACCGGGGGUCUUGCAUAUGCUGGACGAGGCUUUACCUCUGAGCUCCUCACUCAGCUCUUGGCUGCUGGGUCUGGAGACACUCAUCACCUCAGAGCAAAAGGAGGAUGUUUCCCCGGCUCACACGCAGGCUAGGGAAGCAGCUAAUACUGAGCCCAAACUGGUAUGGCCUCCCCCUGCAGCAUUUACAUUCCCUUUGGAUCUGGAGUCACAGGCAGUUGUGAAUCACUAGACAUGGGUGCUGGGAACUGGGACCUCACAAGAGCAGUAAGUGAUCUCAACGGGCCGGGCAAUCCCAGCACUUGGGAGGCAGAGGCAGGUGGAUGUCUGAGUUCGAGGCCAACCUGGUCUACAAAGUGAGUUCCAGGACAGCCAAGGCUACACAGAGAAACCCUGUCUCGAAAAACCAAAAAAAAAAAAAAAAAAAAGUGAUCUCAAUGGCUGAGCCAUUUCCCCCGCCCCCCUUUUCCCCUUUGAGACUCGGUCUCAUAAUGUAGCCCUGGUAAGUCUAGAACUCUCUCUGAAGACCAGGUUUGUCUUUGAACUCAAAGUGAUCCUCCUGCCUCUGCAGCCCUAGUACUGGAAUUAAAGGUGUGUGCUACCAUAUCCAAACAGUCCUUUGAUCUUAUUUUUUUUUUUAAGAAAAUAUCGAUCUUCUAAAAAUAAUUUUUAUUUACUCUGUGUGUGUAUGCAGCACACAGGCACUCAUUGUGGGUCAACAGGCUUGGGCACAGGUCCUGUGCCUUUAUGGACCGAACCAUACUACUUUCUGGUCCCUCUAGUGCUUUGAGAUGGGAUCUGACGAAGCUGCUUAGGAUGGCCUUGAACUCUGGAGCCCAAGCAAACCAAAACACCUGUGCUACACCCACUUUAGCCUUCCAAGUGUCGAAGAUGACAGGCCGGUGCCAUUAGGCCCAGAUUCCCUUACAUUUAAAAUAAUAAUAAUAGUAAUAAUAAUAAUUCUCUCUCUCUCUCUCUCUCUCUCACACACACACACACACACACACAAUCUUACCUUGAGUUUAAAAGGAAAAUUGCAAUGCACUAUCCCAGAGUCCAUUUUGAUUCUACCUCUCCUACUGACCUCUCUCCAUCCUCAUGAAUAUUUAGGAAGUGCUUACUUUGUGUAAGAUUAAUUUUGUGAGCACUGAGGAAAGUGAAAUAAGCAAGCAGAAGAAAUGCCACAGAGGACAAAGAGAGAGACAGUUAAGGCUGGGAAAGAAGGGGCCCAGGAGUGAGGAGGAGCCGGCAAUGGAUCGUGAUUUGCAUAUGUAAAUACUACAGUCUUGCAGGCUGGGUGGUUCGACGUCCCUAGAGAGAGGAAGACUACCAGGAGGCUAUUUUAUUCCUUGCAAGAUGCUUAAGGUGGACUUGAGGGGACCCGGUAGGUUGUGAGGAGAAAAAGGGAAGACUCAGAGAAAGAUGGAGGUGGGUGGUAAGGAGCUGGGUGAAGCCACACACACUAAUAUGCGUAUGGGUUUCUAGGCAUGUUCACUGCUAGCAGAGGUGGGUGUCCAUCACUGAGUUCAAGGACAAACCUGGUCUUCAGAGUUUUAGACUUAUCAGGGCUACAUGAUGAGACCAGAGCAUCCUGCCCAGGCAUUUUGUUUGAUGACUAGACAUUAGAUGUCCGAGGGUGGUAGCAUAAGACUGCUUUGGUUAAAUAGGAGUGUUUAACCAUUUUAAAAAACUACUUAUUAUAUAUAUGUGUGUGAGGUUGCUCGAGGGAGCCAGAAAAGGGGACAUCAGACUCCCCCCCGGGAGUGGGAGAUCUAGGCAGUUGUAAGCUGCCCAAUGCAGGUACCAGGAACUGAACUCUGGAAGAACAGCAACUGCUGGGCUUGAACCCCUGUGAGACUUAGAGCUUAGAGCAGCCUGUGUUCCACGAGCCUCAGGCUUGGAUGGUUGCGUGAAGGCAGCUCAGAACCUUUCUUUUGUAGGAGCACUUGGAAGUGAAGGGGCAGAGGCUGAUCUGCCUUAAAUCUGGACUCACCAUCUUAUUUGAUCUAGGCACAGGCUAUCCCCGGAGGAUUCUCUGAAUUUGGAGGACUACCACAGUAAGUCUUUUCUUGGGUACUUGCCAGGAUGCUAAGCAGGCUUGCUCUAGCUCUCCCCGCUCUCUGGCUGAUUUCUCUGAAGUCUUCUAACAUCUGCGGCUCCCUGCAGACCUAUGGCUGAUCUAUGUAACUCAAAAUGCACAAUUUUCUUUCUUUCCUGUCUUUCUCUUAAAGCUACUCGAAUUCCAAUUUGCCUGUCUUGUUAUUUUCUCAUAUUUUAAUAAAACGGCCCUCAAGCUUCCUUUAAGGCCAUUACAAAAUUUUUUCUUUCUUCCCCAAAGACAGAAUCUUACUGUGUAGCGUUGGCUGACCUGGAACUCCAAAUGCAGAUCAGGCUGGUCUUGAACUCCUGGAGAUCCAGUCUGCUUCUGCCUCCUGAUGGCUGGGAUUAAAAGGCAUGUGCCAACACACCCAGCUUCUAUCAACGACACCAAGAACCCAUAAAAAGGGAAUCAAUUCCCCAGUAACACAUGUUUAAAGGAUACAUAUGCAACAUGAUUUUCAUGUUAAGACUGUGGGUCUCUAAGAUAGCUCUUGUGUGCUUCUUGUGUCUCUGAUUCUCUUGCACUGGGGACAGAAGAUACUCAGCCUGGAGCUAUAGCAAUCACAAUGGCUCAGUGGGUAAUGGCACUUGCUGCCAAGCUUCAUGUUUGAGUUUGAUCUUUGGGCCCCACAUGGUUAAGAAGACAGAACAGAUGACUUCUGUAUUUAUGUGUGCACGUACCCCCUUGUAUGCUCAUAUACACAAAUGUAAUGUAUACCUAUAAACAUAAAUUAUAAACAUGUAUUUUAUACAUAUGUAUAUAUACAUACACACACAUAUAUGUAUAUAUAAUAAUAUAGUAUGUAUAUACAAUAAUGUGUAUAUGCAAUAAUGAUAGUAAUAAUAAGUAGGAACAUAGGAUGAGCUUGGAACUUGGGUGCCCUGCCACAGGGCUCUUGCCUAGCAUGUAGUUUGAAAUGUUCUGUUGCCCUUGUGUGUGCUGCUGUGCUCCUCUUUGAGCUUGAAGGUGCAGAGGAGUUGGAGGCUGGGCGGAGCUAUUUGAACGAUAAUGUGUGUGUCUAUGUCUCUUAAUGUUCAGAGUUGGAGAGAUGGUUCAGCAGGUAAAGAUGCUUGUGCUACAAGCUGGACAGUCUGAGUCUGAUCCUGAGAACCUACAUAAAGAUGGAAGGAGGGAACCAACUCCACAAAGUUGACCUCUGACCUCCAU